AUCUUCGGGUGGAAAGUCGUAACAUUCUGCUAUUUUUUGGUAAAGCUCCUUUACAUUUGAAAAUCCGGAAAUAAGUCCUAAAGGGCUUCCCUGAGCCUGUUGACAGUGGAAUACUAGUUGUGAUUUUUGAGCUCCGUUGUUAUUGUCGACACCGUUAGACUGAUGGUUCUGUACUUCUUCAGCCGGAGGAGGAGGUACGGGCGGUGCCGAAUAUUUCGGUGUCUUCUUUUUAAACAACGACAUCACGAGAUAUACCCUUUGCCCUGUAGAAGUAUAUAGAACUAUAUAAAACUGCUACUGAAAAACAACCACUCUCGUAUAUUGGUACAAGUAGUCAACAUUCCUCUCACAUACCGAGACAAGCCUUAGAAUGGACUCCUCAAGGGAAAAGGAAACAUGGCCGCCCCAAGCAAACGUGGCGUCGUUCCGUCACCACGGAGAUGAAGAAUGUCAGGCUUUCCUGGCCCGAGAUUAAGCUGAUAGCCCAAGAACGAGCGAGAUGGCAGCCCACUGUGGACGCCCUUUGCCCCAUUCAGGGGAUAUAGGACUUGAUGAGUCAACAGAGACAGUUAACAGGUUGAGGAUGGAUAUUUAUAUCUACAGAUGCUUCUGUUCAGUUUGGAUGUCUGUCCUUGUGGGUCUCCCCACUGUGCCUCCAGAGAGCACAUUAAGCAGUCCGUCCUCAUUGUUAUCAAAAAUACCCGAUAACAAUCAUUACUCAUAGCAGGGAAAAUAUCUGCCAAUUCACAGUGGAGCAGUGAAAUGGGUUUAAUCCUUCUCCUACAUGGAGAAAGAGGCCUAUACCCAGCAAUGGGAUGUAAAAGGCUGAAUCUAUGUGUGCUACUGAUGUAAUAAUGAUCAUUUUUUAAUAAAUAAAAUAUAAAAGACU